rnacentral:rRNA from 1 species
CACGUAGGGGGCAAGCGUUGUCCGGAAUCAUUGGGCGUAAAGAGCGUGUAGGCGGCCCGGUAAGUCCGCCGUGAAAGUCCAGGGCUCAACCCUGGAAUGCCGGUGGAAACUGCCGGGCUGGAGUCCGGAAGAGGCGAGUGGAAUUCCUGGUGUAGCGGUGAAAUGCGCAGAUAUCAGGAGGAACACCAAUGGCGAAGGCAGCUCGCUGGGACGGUACUGACGCUGAGACGCGAAAGCGUGGGGAGCAAACAGG